rnacentral:rRNA from 1 species
GACGAACGCUGGCGGCGUGCUUAACACAUGCAAGUCGAACGGAAAGGCCCUGCUUUUGUGGGGUGCUCGAGUGGCGAACGGGUGAGUAACACGUGAGUAACCUGCCCUUGACUUUGGGAUAACUUCAGGAAACUGGGGCUAAUACCGGAUAGGAGCUCCUGCUGCAUGGUGGGGGUUGGAAAGUUUCGGCGGUUGGGGAUGGACUCGCGGCUUAUCAGCUUGUUGGUGGGGUAGUGGCUUACCAAGGCUUUGACGGGUAGCCGGCCUGAGAGGGUGACCGGCCACAUGGGGACUGAGAGACGGCCCAGAAUCCUACGGGAGGCAGCAGUGGGGAAUAUUGCACAAUGGGCGGAAGCCUGAUGCAGCAACGCCGCGUGCGGGAUGACGGCCUUCGGGUUGUAAACCGCUUUCGCCUGUGACGAAGCGUGAGUGACGGUAAUGGGUAAAGAAGCACCGGCUAACUACGUG